AUGAACGCUGGCGGCGUGCCUAAUACAUGCAGGUCGAGCGAACGGACGAGAAGCUUGCUUCUCUGAUGUUAGCGGCGGACGGGUGAGUACACGUGGAUAACCUACCUAUAAGACUGGGAUAACUUCGGGAAACCGGAGCUAAUACCGGAUAAUAUUUUGAACCGCAUGGUUCAAAAGUGAAAGACGGUCUUGCUGUCACUUAUAGAUGGAUCCGCGCUGCAUUAGCUAGUUGGUAAGGUAACGGCUUACCAAGGCAACGAUGCAUAGCCGACCUGAGAGGGUGAUCGGCCACACUGGAACUGAGACACGGUCCAGACUCCUACGGGAGGCAGCAGUAGGGAAUCUUCCGCAAUGGGCGAAAGCCUGACGGAGCAACGCCGCGUGAGUGAUGAAGGUCUUCGGAUCGUAAAACUCUGUUAUUAGGGAAGAACAUAUGUGUAAGUAACUGUGCACAUCUUGACGGUACCUAAUCAGAAAGCCACGGCUAACUACGUG
rnacentral:rRNA from 1 species